GGGGAAUCUUCCGCAAUGGGCGCAAGCCUGACGGAGCAAGACCGCGUGCGGGAGGACGGCCUAUUGGUUGUAAACCGCUUUUGAUAGGGAAGAAGCUCUGACGGUACCUAUCGAAUCAGCAUCGGCUAACUCCGUGCCAGCAGCCGCGGUAAUACGGAGGAUGCAAGCGUUAUCCGGAAUUAUUGGGCGUAAAGCGUCCGUAGGUGGUUGUUCAAGUCUGCUGUUAAAGCGUGCGGCUUAACCGCAUACCAGCAGUGGAAACUGGGCGACUAGAGUGCGGUAGGGGUCAGGGGAAUUCCCAGUGUAGCGGUGAAAUGCGUAGAUAUUGGGAAGAACACCAGCGGCGAAAGCGCGUGACUGGGCCUGAACUGACACUGCUCCCCCGCCAGUUAGGGGAGCGAAUGGGAUUAGAUACCCCAGUAGUC
rnacentral:rRNA from 1 species